rnacentral:lncRNA from 1 species
AAUCCUGUAGAGCACUGUCCCAGUCAGUUCCUCCCUGCUGGCCUGCAUCCACGCUUCUCUGCGACAUCUCCUCGGCUCUACACCACGUCAAUGAAGUGGACGACAUGCUCUCCAUUGUCCCCUCAUGAGUGCCUAUCAUGGAGCAGAAGUGCUGGGGAAUAAGACCAUGGACCUAUCAUUUCCAGUCUAUUAAGGAAGUACCAGAGCUGGAGCUCCUGCCCAGGGAGGCCUCGGUUUCCCUUGGUCCCUUUGCUGCAGCCCAGGUCACUCCCUCUUGCAUUUCAAGUUCCCGCAUCUCACAAAGCAGGCUCCUAGGACAGAGAAGCUCAAUGGGUUCCAGCACCCAGAAGGAAGCUCCCCUGCUGCCAUCCCAGGCUCCUAGGGCAGAGAAGGUGAGCCGCAUGGGUGCCAGAAGCACCCCCUCCCGUGGAAAUGAGAAGACACAUAAACAAGUCUCAAAAACAGACUUCUGGAUCACCUACAGCAACCCCAAAGGGAAAUGAGAUGGAACAAUCUGAUACUCAACCACCUGGACUCUCUGAACUAGCAACAAAAGAGGAUCUGG